rnacentral:rRNA from 1 species
UUGAACGCUGGCGGCAUGCCUUACACAUGCAAGUCGAACGGUAGAGGGGCAACCCUUGAGAGUGGCGAACGGGUGAGUAAUAUAUCGGAACGUGCCCAGUCGUGGGGGAUAACGCAGCGAAAGCUGCGCUAAUACCGCAUACGAUCUAAGGAUGAAAGCGGGGGAUCGCAAGACCUCGCGCGGUUGGAGCGGCCGAUAUCAGAUUAGGUAGUUGGUGGGGUAAAAGCCUACCAAGCCGACGAUCUGUAGCUG